AUUGAACGCUGGCGGCAUGCCUUACACAUGCAAGUCGAACGGUAACAGGGAGCUUGCUCCGCUGACGAGUGGCGAACGGGUGAGUAAUAUAUCGGAACGUGCCCUAGAGUGGGGGAUAACGUAGCGAAAGUUACGCUAAUACCGCAUACGAUCUACGGAUGAAAGUGGGGGAUCGCAAGACCUCAUGCUCAUGGAGCGGCCGAUAUCUGAUUAGCUAGUUGGUAGGGUAAAAGCCUACCAAGCCAACGAUCUGUAGCUGGUCUGAGAGGACGACCAGCCACACUGGAACUGAGACACGGUCCAGACUCCUACGGAGGCAGCAGUGGGGAAUUUUGGACAAUGGACGCAAGUCUGAUCCAGCCAUUCCGCGUGCAGGAUGAAGGCCCUCGGGUUGUAAACUGCUUUUGUACGGAACGAAAAGGUCUCUCUUAAUACGGGGGGCUCAUGACGGUACCGUAAGAAUAAGCACCGGCUAACUACGUGCCAGCAGCC
rnacentral:rRNA from 1 species